AAGUUAUUAUUAUCAGAUUCACAACAAUUACAGAAGCAUUGGUUGUGGUUGAAAAUCUUGGGUCUCACGCUCCCUCCGACAAUGCUAAUUACAUUUGUAUAAAACAGAAAAUCGAAAGUAAAAAAAAAAAGAAAAGAAAAUGAUGAACGUCAUGAACCAGUCAUCAUAAACGUCUAUCUUCAGGCCAAACCUUUCUCCUAUAGGCCUAUUCAAGCACGACUAUUAUAGG